ACGAGUUUGAUCCUGGCUCAGGAUGAACGCUAGCGGCAGGCCUAACACAUGCAAGUCGAGGGGGUAGAGUUCUUCGGGACUUGAGACCGGCGCAUGGGUGCGUAACGCGUAUGCAAUCUACCUUAUACAGGGGAAUAGCCCAGAGAAAUUUGGAUUAAUGCCCCAUAGUGUUAUCGAAUCGCAUGGUUUGAUAACUAAAGUUCCAACGGUAUAAGAUGAGCAUGCGUCCCAUUAGUUAGUUGGUAAGGUAACGGCUUACCAAGACAAUGAUGGGUAGGGGUCCUGAGAGGGAGAUCCCCCACACUGGUACUGAGACACGGACCAGACUCCUACGGGAGGCAGCAGUGAGGAAUAUUGGUCAAUGGGCGCAAGCCUGAACCAGCCAUGCCGCGUGCAGGAAGACGGUCCUAUGGAUUGUAAACUGCUUUUAUACAGGAAGAAACCCUCCCACGUGUGGGAGCUUGACGGUACUGUAGGAAUAAGGAUCGGCUAACUCCGUG
rnacentral:rRNA from 1 species